rnacentral:lncRNA from 1 species
GGGACUCGUAGUUCCAGCCUCCGCUGCAACGGCCGGCCUGUCCUGAGGAGAGAUGUAAGGCGCAGUGCUUCUGAGAGCCGACUUCAGUAGGUGUUCUCCUAGCUCAGCGUGCUUAUGGCCACAGAGUUGGGCCCUUUGGAAGAAAAUUGGUAAUGCUUUGUCACUGAGGCGGUCGCGUCGAGAAUCGUGAGGCCGGGUCAUUGCUUAAGGUCUACUCGCCUGCUCAGACCUAGAGCUGCCAGGAUCUGGGAAAUGGGCGCUGUCCCCUAACCUAAGCUGCUAACUAGGGCCGGGAAACCCGAAGGUAUUGGGAGAAAAGAAAGGAGUUACAAAGAUGUCAGCCUGGCGAGGGAGUGCCCAUUCACAACCCACGAAAAAAGAUUUCAUUGGCUUUUUGAUAAAGACAAUGAACAACUUUCAUGUGGACCAGUCUGGGACUCUAAGCUUGGAGUUUGCAGGAGUGGCUCAAGACACACAAAGACUAACUAUGAAGGGUGGGACACCGAGGCUGUAUGGGAGACGUAUUUCAUGUUGAAUGUGCCAAGCUCUUUGGUGAAAAAAAACAAAACAAAACCUAAGAGUAAGUCCCUCUUCUUUCUUUACUAUCCAUUAUAUAGACAUUAAAAAUUAAGAAUAAACUUUACCAAGAUCACAAAACUGAUGUCAAAACCAAACUGCGGACCUAUUCCAUAUUGUAUGCCCAACGUUCUUUUUUCCUUAACAAUUGCAAUGACUGCCACGAGUUUGCCAGGAACAGAGAGGAUGCAAUGGUAUGAAUUGUAAAGGUUCACUUUUUGUUUUUGUUUUUGUUUUUGUUUUUGUUUUUCGAGACAAGGUUUCUCUGUAUAUCCCUGGCUGUCCUGGAACUCACUCUGUAGACCAGGCUGGCCUCGAACUCAGAAAUCUGCCUGCCUCUGCUUCCCGAGUGCUGGGAUUAAAGGCGUGCGCCACCACACCCGGCUCAAAGGUUCACUUUUACUUUCAAAUAUUUUCUUAGGUGACAAAAGUGUUCUUACUGUUAAGGAACUACCAUCCUCUUUAUAUUCCUUUACAAGCAGGAGACAUCCUUACUGCCUGUCAUGUGCAGACUCUUGGACAGAAACCAAAACAAAAGACAACUGAUGGUGAGGUCAUCUUGUUCUAUUCAAACAUGAAGGCGUUGCCAGAUUGUUUUGUUUCUAUUGAUGAAAGUUGGAAAAUGCUUUUUUCCCCCAUUAUUCAAUACAGACAUGUGCUACAAAAACAGGUAGAAUUUAAAAAUUAGGUUAAGAUACAAAUGGGUUUCAUUGUGGAAUCUUCAUUGUUUUCUUUUAAAGAUAGGCUGUAGCCCCCAUGAAGCCCUGAAUAGCCUCAGUUUUUUGAUCUUCCUGCCUCAGUCUUGGGCAUGCUGCAAUUACAGCUUCCAGCUGGCAUCUUGACAAUCACCUUGUAAAAUAAGCCAAGCCGGAAUCAGCUAGCUAAGCCAUUCCCCACAUUCAGCCCCACAAAAAUAUGAUACAAUAAAUGUUUAAGGUUUAAUCUGCAGUAUCAAAAAUAAAUGUUUACUAUUAUCUUCAACACUGGUUGAUUGUGUGGCGAUAACUACUAAUACAGAAAGAUUUGGGAAAAUAGGCAGUGAUGGUGCACACCUUUAGUCCCAGCACUCAGGAGACAGAGGCAGGCGUUUCUCUGUGAGUUUGAGGUCACCCUGGUCUACAGAGAGAGUUCCAGGACAACCAGGGCUACACAGAGAAACCCUGCUUUAAAAUAAAAAAAGAAAAGAAAAGAGAUUUGGGGAAAUAAAGGUGAAAUAGAAGACUGACUCAGGUGUGCGGAUACUCUGGAUACAUGAAGGAACAAAACUCAGACUUAAGAAAAAUCUUACAAAGUAGUCAGUAAGAUUCAGUUUUAUACCAGGUAGACUUCAUAUAAGACAUAAUUCACUUUACAAUAGUUAUUUUCCCCUUUGCUCCAGCAUGAAAUAAACAAUACAC